UCGGGACAUUUUCUCACCUUAAUUCAAAACAACCGUUUGUGAGAGACUGACCAAGUUGUCUGUGUGGGCCUCAAUUCUGCUGUCUUGUUUUAGAUGAAGCACCGCCAUCUCUGGGAAGCUGGCCGUGAUUUCUCAACGCCUGGAUUCCUCGCUGGGUGGCCCUUGUCUCUUUACAUACUUAAGCCCCUUACUGAGAAAGAGUUCACUGCAGCUGAGGAGUCAUUAUUCCCUAGGACUGGGUCUGCAAGCCCACCCAGUGCCUGGCAGAGAUGCCCUAUUGUAGGCGCUGCGUUGGUCUUCGAGGGUUGCCACAGGCUGGGUGAUUUAAACAAUGAAUGUUUGUUUGCUCACAGUUCUGGAGGCUAGAAGCCCGAGAUCAAGGUGUCAGCAGGGAGUCUAGAGGACUCUCAGGAGAAUCAGGAAGCCUUCUUGAAGCAAAGCACCAGCUGUUGGCUAUUCCCACUGCUCCCUCUUGAGAGCCAGGUCCCCUUGCCUUCCACAAACACAGACUCAUGGAUGUGACCCUGUGACCUCUCACCGGUUAAAUUGCAUUGGCUCAUGACCUAGUGCUCACCAAGAUCCUUUUCAAAAUGUUUCCUUCACAGAUUCUCUUUAGGGGCAAACUGGCCCCCCACCCCCACCUCCCAUCUGGCUCUCACUCUGGAACUGACAGCCUGAUCACUUCAGUUUGAAGAAAUAGUCCCCUCCCUCUUCUUUUUAUCUUUAAGUUUGAAAAUGGAUGGUAGAGAUAAUCUCUAAGCAU